AACACCUAUCCGCUCGGCUCAGCGGCUGCAACGCAACCAAAGGUGAUGGUUGCGGGUGCUGGCUAGUUGUACUCUCAACUAAUUGCGUCUUAGUUUAUUUUUUGUUGCUUCCCUGUAUUGCAUUCAUAUGUAUGUAGUUAAAUUUCAGGGGAUUCAAAUAUUCAGGCGCCAACAUCAUUGAGGCUGCAUGUGGACAGUGUUGAGCAAUGUGGGCUGGCCUGACAAUGCAACGGCACAUGUUCCAGUGCAUCAAUGAAAUACCAAUUGGUCAAAAAGCAGGACAACGUCCCACACGACGGCCUGGCGGGACUUGGGUGGCAGUCUUGGGUAAUCUGGGUAUGGUAUGCGACAACCCUUGGAAUUAUCGAAUGCUUUCCUAUUCUCUUUCCUCGAAUUCGCAAUUGUACAUUAGUUCUGAGGUGCGCAGGAGAAAAAAGCGCACCACCAAAACUCGUCUAUCAACUUUUGCUUUCAUUUUGUGGCGAAAAUUCGCGCGUACAGAGCGCAAGACAUAAAUAACAAUUGCAAAAAUCACGUAUGCGUAAAGAGAAACACAGUAAUAGCCACAGUGCGCAGAAGCGAGACAAACAUACUAGGUAACCUCAUAUAUACACACACACACACGGUAUACAACUGCGGCUAACUUCAGGGCGUACGAGCGUGAAAACGGCAGGAACACGCAAUAAAACGUUUGACGAAAACAAUAAGAAAGAAAAGGGAAUAAGAGAUCUAAGCGACUAACGUCGCGUCGCUCUGUUCUAACAUUCUGGAUAUUGGACCAACCAAGGCAAUUUCAAUAUGGCGUCUGUGGUGCAAAAUAGACUUGCAAUUAUUUAUAUAAUUGAAAUUUUUGAAUAAUUUUCAGUGGAAAUGGGCAUGCAAUCUGAUGCGCAUGUCAAAACGACGAACACAAGAAAUACACAAAUAUGAAUACAUAUUGUGAGGCCAAUGCAUUGAGGGUGUGCCUAUUUAAUGUUUGUUUCGAGAGCCUAGUUGCACUUUCACAUAAUAUAUACCAAACAAUUAUUUUGGAAAAUAAUUUAAAAUUGUUAACCAUAUGCAUGGGGCUGGCAACUCUGUGGGGCUCUAUUUAGUCACAUCCAACUUCAUGUUGCACAAAGCAAAAUCGAAAGCAAAACAAAUGAAGACACAAAUGAGUGCGAGAGAGCACGACAUAUGCACUGCCGUGGGGGAGAAACACGAAAUCAAAUAUGGCGACACGCUAUAUGACAAGUGCAGGAUGUGAUUCAUUGCAAGAUUAUGCUGUCUGACUGUGCCCACUGACGAUUCUAUCAUUAUCACUGCACUUUUUCGAUUAAGGCGCGCAUUUCCCACAUUUAUUUAUUAGCGCUUUACUCACCGUUUAUUUUGUUCAUUGGCGGUCUCACUUCAUUUUUCACAACUCUGUUUAAUUCGACGGCAAGGCAAGCUUUGAUUUCUAAUUUUUGCGUAUUUGGCGCACAAAACUCUUCUCACGUUUGCUUUUUAAAAUACAAAUACAAUUUGCAUACA